GUGAGAAAGCCCUUACAGGUUGUCUAGCCUGCUGGGAGAUGGAGUGAUCCACCUUUAGCAUUGGGAGCUGCUCUAGAAUUCAGCUUCUGAGAUGUUCUGGCCCAGCCAAGCCUCUGGUAAGGAUAAGUGUCCCCAUCUUGCCUGCCUACAAUUUCUUCUCUCUCUCCCCUUACCUGUGCAGAUGGCUCUAUCUGGGUUCAGUCUUCUGCUCCGAUGAAGACAUGAUCUGGCUGGCUGCAAAUUUGCCAACUCACUUGCCAACUCACUUGCCAUGAGCAAUGCAGCUGCACCAAGCCAGAGCUCCGUAUAUGCUGGACACCUCUGCAGGUGGGAAUGCAACUUCUGUGCUUCUGCUAAUGCCUAAAUGGGAUGCUAUGUCACUGGUGUGAAGACAUCCAAAGGCUUCCUGGGGGCUGCCAGUGUGCUUUGUUGUCCAACUCUGCCAGAUUCUCAGGACAAGAGCACAGGGAACUGAUGGUAGAAGAACAAGCAGAUUUGCUGGCAAAUCACUUUGUGAAGAAAAUGGAAGAGAAAUGAUUGGCUUUGGCUGCUGCUGAUGGCUGAUGGGGCUUCAUAGGAAGAUUCUGAAGAAGAUAUAGAAGCCC